AUUGAACGCUGGCGGCAGGCCUAACACAUGCAAGUCGAGCGGAUGAAGGGAGCUUGCUCCUGGAUUCAGCGGCGGACGGGUGAGUAAUGCCUAGGAAUCUGCCUGGUAGUGGGGGAUAACGUCCGGAAACGGGCGCUAAUACCGCAUACGUCCUGAGGGAGAAAGUGGGGGAUCUUCGGACCUCACGCUAUCAGAUGAGCCUAGGUCGGAUUAGCUAGUUGGUGGGGUAAAGGCCUACCAAGGCGACGAUCCGUAACUGGUCUGAGAGGAUGAUCAGUCACACUGGAACUGGGACACGGUCCAGACUCCUACGGGAGGCAGCAGUGGGGAAUAUUGGACAAUGGGCGAAAGCCUGCUCCAGCCAUGCCGCGUGUGUGAAGAAGGUCUUCGGAUUUUAAAGCACUUUAAGUUGGGAGGAAGGGCAGUAAGUUAAUACCUUGCUGUUUUGACGUUACCAACAGAAUAAGCACCGGCUAACUUCGUG
rnacentral:rRNA from 1 species